rnacentral:rRNA from 1 species
UGGGGAAUAUUGCACAAUGGGCGGAAGCCUGAUGCAGCAACGCCGCGUGCGGGAUGACGGCCUUCGGGUUGUAAACCGCUUUCGCCUGUGACGAAGCGUGAGUGACGGUAAUGGGUAAAGAAGCACCGGCUAACUACGUGCCAGCAGCCGCGGUGAUACGUAGGGUGCGAGCGUUGUCCGGAUUUAUUGGGCGUAAAGGGCUCGUAGGUGGUUGAUCGCGUCGGAAGUGUAAUCUUGGGGCUUAACCCUGAGCGUGCUUUCGAUACGGGUUGACUUGAGGAAGGUAGGGGAGAAUGGAAUUCCUGGUGGAGCGGUGGAAUGCGCAGAUAUCAGGAGGAACACCAGUGGCGAAGGCGGUUCUCUGGGCCUUUCCUGACGCUGAGGAGCGAAAGCGUGGGGAGCGAACAGGCUUAGAUACCCUGGUAGUCCACGCUGUAAACGGUGGGUACUAGGUGUGGGGGUCCAUUCCACGGGUUCCGUGCCGUAGCUAACGCUUUAAGUACCCCGCCUGGGGAGUACGGCCGCAAGGCUAAAACUCAAAUGAAUUGACGGGGUCAUAGCUGUUUCCU